rnacentral:lncRNA from 1 species
CUUCUGCUUCUUUUUUUUUUUGCAUCUUUAUCUGCUUCAUGUUCAGCUUGUUUUGCCUUAUUUGCUGCUGUUAUAGCCUUAUCAUGUUCUUUCUUAGCUGUUUUAACUGCUUCUUCUGCCUUUGUUACUUCAUUUAGAGCGUUAUAUAAAUUAACGUUUGAUUGCAUAACAUCUUUUGGUUUAUCUGAAGGAUUAUUUUUUAUAUCUCCUAUGUUUGGCACUGCUAUAUUUGAUACUUCGUCUGUUGCUCCUUUUUCUUUAGUUGCUCCUUUUUCUUCAGUUGCUCCUUUUUCUUCAGUUGCUCCUUUUUCUUCUGUUGCUCCUUUUUCUUCAGUUGCUCCU